AGUGAACGCUGGCGGUAGGCCUAACACAUGCAAGUCGAACGGCAGCACAGUAAGAGCUUGCUCUUACGGGUGGCGAGUGGCGGACGGGUGAGGAAUACAUCGGAAUCUACUUUUUCGUGGGGGAUAACGUAGGGAAACUUACGCUAAUACCGCAUACGACCUACGGGUGAAAUCAGGGGAUCUUCGGACCUUGCGCGAUUGAAUGAGCCGAUGUCGGAUUAGCUAGUUGGCGUGGUAAAGGCCCACCAAGGCGACGAUCCGUAGCUGGUCUGAGAGGAUGAUCAGCCACACUGGAACUGAGACACGGUCCAGACUCCUACGGGAGGCAGCAGUGGGGAAUAUUGGACAAUGGGCGCAGGCCUGAUCCAGCCAUACCGCGUGGGUGAAGAAGGCCUUCGGGUUGUAAAGCCCUUUUGUUGGGAAAGAAAAGCAGCAGGUUAAUACCCCGCUGUUCUGACGGUACCCAAAGAAUAAGCACCGGCUAACUUCGUG
rnacentral:rRNA from 1 species